UACGUAGGGUCCGAGCGUUAAUCGGAAUUACUGGGCGUAAAGCGUGCGCAGGCGGUUUUUUAAGCCCGAUGUGAAAUCCCCGGGCUUAACCUGGGAACUGCAUUUGGGACUGCAAGGCUUGAGUACAGCAGAGGGGGGUAGAAUUCCUGGUGUAGCAGUGAAAUGCGUAGAUAUCAGGAGGAAUACCGAUGGCGAAGGCAGCCCCCUGGGUUGAUACUGACGCUCAUGCACGAAAGCGUGGGGAGCAAACAGG
rnacentral:rRNA from 1 species